rnacentral:rRNA from 1 species
GAGGGUCCUACUGUCUCCUCUCUCCAAUCAAUGAAACUGAUCUCUCCGUGAAGAAGCGGGGAUUUAACUAUAAGACGAGAAGACCCCAUGGAGCUUUAAACCCGACUACACCUCCACCUCUUAUACCCACAUAAUCAACGGAGUACUGUACAUCGGUUUUGGGUUGGGGUGACCACGGAGCACAAACUAACCUCCAUGAUGAAUAAGACUAACCCUUUAUCUAAGAGACACACCUCUAAGAAUUAGCACACUAACAUAAAAUGAUCCGAUAUUCGAUCAACGAACCAAGUUACCCUGGGGAUAACAGCGCAAUCCACUUCAAGAGCCCCUAUCCACAAGUGGGUUUACGACCUCGAUGUUGGAUCAGGGUAUCCUAGUGGUGCAGCAGCUACUAAAGGUUCGUUUGUUCAACGAUUAAAACCCU